rnacentral:rRNA from 1 species
AUUGAACGCUGGCGGAAUGCUUUACACAUGCAAGUCGAACGGCAGCACGGACUUCGGUCUGGUGGCGAGUGGCGAACGGGUGAGUAAUACAUCGGAACGUGCCCGGACGUGGGGGAUAACUACUCGAAAGAGUGGCUAAUACCGCAUACGAUCCAAGGAUGAAAGCGGGGGAUCGCAAGACCUCGCGCGUUUGGAGCGGCCGAUGGCAGAUUAGGUAGUUGGUGAGGUAAAGGCUUACCAAGCCUGCGAUCUGUAGCUGGUCUGAGAGGAUGAUCAGCCACACUGGGACUGAGACACGGCCCAGACUCCUACGGGAGGCAGCAGUGGGGAAUUUUGGACAAUGGGCGAAAGCCUGAUCCAGCCAUUCCGCGUGCAGGAUGAAGGCCCUCGGGUUGUAAACCUCUUUCAGCAGGGAAGAAGCGAAAGUGACGGUACCUGCAGAAGAAGUACCGGCUAACUACGUG